AACGAACGCUGGCGGCAUGCCUAACACAUGCAAGUCGAACGAGACCUUCGGGUCUAGUGGCGCACGGGUGCGUAACGCGUGGGAACCUGCCCUUAGGUUCGGAAUAACUCCCCGAAAGGGGUGCUAAUACCGGAUAAUGUCUUCGGACCAAAGAUUUAUCGCCUUUGGAUGGGCCCGCGUUGGAUUAGCUAGUUGGUAGGGUAAAAGCCUACCAAGGCGACGAUCCAUAGCUGGUCUGAGAGGAGGAUCAGCCACACUGGGACUGAGACACGGCCCAGACUCCUACGGGGGGCAGCAGUGGGGAAUAUUGGACAAUGGGGGAAGGCCUGAUCCAGCAAUGCCGCGUGAGUGAUGAAGGCCUUAGGGUUGUAAAGCUCUUUUACCCGGGAUGAUAAUGACAGUACCGGGAGAAUAAGCGCCGGCUAACUCCGUG
rnacentral:rRNA from 1 species